UACGGAGGGAGCUAGCGUUGUUCGGAAUUACUGGGCGUAAAGCGCACGUAGGCGGCUUUGUAAGUUAGAGGUGAAAGCCCGGGGCUCAACCCCGGAAUUGCCUUUAAGACUGCAUCGCUUGAAUCCAGGAGAGGUGAGUGGAAUUCCGAGUGUAGAGGUGAAAUUCGUAGAUAUUCGGAAGAACACCAGUGGCGAAGGCGGCUCACUGGACUGGUAUUGACGCGUGA
rnacentral:rRNA from 1 species